GUGAAUCAUCAAAUUUUUGAACGCAAAUUGCACUCUCUUCGGAGAGUAUGCCUGUUUGAGGGUCAGACUAAAAAAAAUCGACAUCGUUGCCGUUGCGCGGUGGCGUUUGUCGGAAGGUGGGUUAUCUUUAAUCUUUGGUUUAAUCGACUUAAAAUUUUCUUUACGUUUCCAUGAACGUUUUCAAGAUUUAUUUCUUUACACGUUUAAGGUGUCGAUUUUAUUUGGCGUG
rnacentral:misc_RNA from 1 species